UGUCUUGUGAGAACAUUUAUGCACAAAGUAGACAAUAUGUACCAGUGUGUAGAUAUGCUUUUCCUGUGUU
rnacentral:pre_miRNA from 15 species